rnacentral:rRNA from 1 species
UCGGGAAUUUUGGGCAAUGGGCGAAAGCCUGACCCAGCAACGCCGCGUGAGGGAUGAAGUAUUUCGGUAUGUAAACCUCGAAAGAAUGGGAAGAAUAAAUGACGGUACCAUUUAUAAGCUCCGGCUAACUACGUGCCAGCAGCCGCGGUAAUACGUAGGGAGCAAGCGUUGUUCGGAUUUACUGGGCGUAAAGGGCGCGUAGGCGGCGCGGUAAGUCACUUGUGAAAUCUCUGAGCUUAACUCAGAACGGCCAAGUGAUACUGCUGUGCUAGAGUGCGGAAGAGGCAACCGGAAUUCUUGGUGUAGCGGUGAAAUGCGUAGACAUCAAGAGGAACACCUGAGGCGAAGGCGGGUUGCUGGGCCGACACUGACGCUGAUGCGCGAAAGCCAGGGGAGCAAACG